AGGACGAACGCUGGCGGCGUGCUUAACACAUGCAAGUCGAGCGGGCAUGAUCCGGUGGCAACACUGGUGAAAUGCUAGCGGCGAACGGGUGAGUAACACGUGAGCAACCUGCCCCCAAGUCUGGGAUAACCCCGGGAAACCGGAGCUAAUACCGGAUGCCCUCUCCGGAUCGCAUGGUCUGGCGAGGAAAGAAUUUCGCUUGGGGAGGGACUCGCGGCCUAUCAGCUUGUUGGUGGGGUAAUGGCCUACCAAGGCUUCGACGGGUAGCUGGUCUGAGAGGACGACCAGCCACACUGGGACUGAGACACGGCCCAGACUCCUACGGGAGGCAGCAGUGGGGAAUCUUGCGCAAUGGGCGAAAGCCUGACGCAGCAACGCCGCGUGGGGGAUGAAGGCUCUCGGGUCGUAAACCCCUUUCAGUGGGAACGAAAUGACGGUACCACAGAAGAAGGACCGGCCAACUACGUGCCAGCAGCCGCGGUA
rnacentral:rRNA from 1 species